rnacentral:tRNA from 1 species
GGAGAGAUGGCUCAGAGGUUAAGAACACUGACUGUUCUUCCAGAGGUCCUGAGUUCAAAUCCCAGCAACUACA